ACAGGCGUUAGCACGAGUUAGCAGGCGCUAGCGUCAUGGCAGACAUCAGCUCUCACAGCUUCACCAGAUUUAUAAAGAUCAAACUUCAGUAUCGGCCUAAAGGAUCCCCAUCUGUUCAGAGUUUGCUCGCUUGUUGCUAGGUGGCUGCUACGUGUUCGGAGUGGUCUUUACAUGGUUGCUAGGUGGUUGCUACGUGUUCGGAGUGGUCUUUACAUGGUUGCUAGGUGGCUGUUACGUGUUCGGAGUGGUCUUUACAUGGUUGCUAGGUGGUUGCUACGUGUUCGGAGUGGUCUUUACAUGGUUGCUACGUGGCUGCUACGUGUUCGGAGUGGUCUUUACAUGGUUGCUAGGUGGUUGCUACGUGUUCGGACUGGUCUUUACAUGGUUGCUAGGUGGCUGCUACGUGUUCGGAGAGGUCUUUACAUGGUUGCUAGGUGGUUGCUACGUGUUCGGACUGGUCUUUACAUGGUUGCUAGGGUGUUACUAAGUGGUUGCUGGGUGAUUUUGAGGGUGUGUGUGUGUAGUAAGUUUUA